GACGAACGCUGGCGGCGCGCUUAACACAUGCAAGUCGAGCGAGAACCAGGACUUCGGUCCUGGGGACAGCGGCGAACGGGUGAGUAACACGUGGAUAACCUGCCCUCGGCACCGGGAUAGCCCGAGGAAACUCGGAUUAAUACCGGAUAGCCCUUCCGACUCUCGAGUCGGUCCGAAAAGGUAGCUUCGGCCUCUGGCCGAGGAUGGGUCCGCGGCGGAUUAGCUUGUUGGUGAGGUAACGGCCUACCAAGGCAUCGAUCCGUAGCUGGUCUGAGAGGACGAUCAGCCACACUGGGACUGAGACACGGUCCAGACUCCUACGGGAGGCAGCAGUGGGGAAUCUUGCGCAAUGGGCGAAAGCCUGACGCAGCGACGCCGCGUGAGGGAAGAAGGCCU
rnacentral:rRNA from 1 species